UAUAUACCAAUUAAGAAUUGAAAACAAAAUAUUUAUAUAAAAUAAAUGAAAACAAAAAUCCGUGCGGUUGCGCGGAUCGAGAUCUAGUGAUAUUUAUUUUGUUAGUUAGUUUAUUUUAUAUGUACUUAUAAAAAUGUAUUUGAUUUUAUUUAAGAAUUGCAUUUUAUCCUCUCAGAUCUGCUGUCGUCAUCCUCUCAACUCCACUUUUAUUAUUUUGCGGUCAUCUCAUCCACCGUUGUCCUUCAUCUUAUGAUCUCAUAGUGCUAGGGUUAAUCUAACAUCUCCCGAUUUAGUCAAUUCUGGCGUUUCACCUUAUAUACCUCGAGGAAGCUAUGUAGAUUUGCCGAAGAUUGCUAAGAAAAUCAGUUUCUCCACUGCGCUUUCUCUAGAUCUGUGAAGUUCUCAGCCAUCAAUCAAACGUUGGAGUUUGAGGUGCCUCCUGAGUCUUCCAUUGAGUUAUCUUUUCCACCUGGGAAUACGACAACGCUUGUGAUAAGUAUUAACUCGGUUAUACAAGGGAGGAUGUGACUGUGGCUGAAGUGAAUUUCUUGAAAGAUGAAUUUUUCAGUGGAGGUGAAACUGUGGUGAUUGAUGCUGACAAGAUUUUGUUAUAUCAAACAGCUAGAAUUGGGGAUUUUGCUUACAAGUUUCAGUCUUUGGUUAUAUCCGGCCUUAAUUUGUUUUCGCAAGUGGGAGAAAACACACCUUUGUGAUCUCUGAUCUAAAAGGAUGCUUGUUGGUCUGGAAAGAGAGUUAUCUAUACGCUUAGAAGGAGUGACCGGAGAGCCACAAUUCUAUGUGGCAUUUCUAUUAGAAAGGAUGCCACAGUUUCUUGCAUGUUGCUUUCUUAUCUCUUUUGAUUCUUCGACAAGAUGUUUUGUCUUCCUUUUUAUUUUAUAUGUGAGAAAUAUGGUUUCAUAUGGUGCUUGAGAACCAUAUAACCAUAGGUAUAUCGUUUCAUGUCUCCUUUUGUUUUGUUUUGUAUGAUUUUACCAACCAACAUAUUAGUUAGACAUAUCGUGUAUGAAAAACAAAAUGUACAUAGUUUCAGACUUUCAAGUCUCUUUUUGUUUUGUUUUA